AUUGAACGCUGGCGGCAGGCCUAACACAUGCAAGUCGAACGAGUGGCGGACGGGUGAGUAAUGUCUGGGAAACUGCCCGAUGGAGGGGGAUAACUACUGGAAACGGUAGCUAAUACCGCAUACCAUCGGAUGUGCCUCGAUGGGAUUAGCUAGUAGGUGGGGUAACGGCUCACCUAGGCGACGAUCCCUAGCUGGGCUGAGAGGAUGACCAGCCAGACUGGAACUGAGACACGGUCCAGACUCAUACGGGAGGCAGCGGUGGGGAAUAUUGCACAAUGGGCGCAAGCCGGAUGCAGCCAUGCCGCAUGUAUGAAGAAAGCCUUCGGGUUAUAAAGUACGUUCAGCGAGGAGGCGUUACUCGCAGAAGGUGCACGGGCGAGCUCCGUGCCAGCAGCCGCGGUAAUUC
rnacentral:rRNA from 1 species